UACGAAGGGGGCUAGCGUUACUCGGAUUGACUGGGCGUAAAGGGCGCGUAGGCGGCUUGUACAGUCAGACGUGAAAUUCCUGGGCUCAACCUGGGGGCUGCGUUUGAUACGUGCGGGCUUGAGUUCGGAAGAGGGUCGUGGAAUUCCCAGUGUAGAGGUGAAAUUCGUAGAUAUUCGGAGGAACACCAGUGGCGAAGGCGGCUCACUGGUCCAUUACUGACGCUGAGGUGCGAAAGCGUGGGGAGCAAACAGG
rnacentral:rRNA from 1 species